GCGCAGGCGCAGGCGCAGAGGCCGACACCACGGGGCGGCUGGUAUGUGUCCACCGGCCCCUAGGCGCCUCGAGCCCCGCCCCUGGGAGACGCAGGCUCCUCCCCGCGGAGCGAGAGCCCGCGGAGCUGCUCCGAGACCCGCGGGAGGGCACCUCCGGUCACCCGAGCCGCAAAUCCCCGCCGUCCGAAGGGGGUGUCGCCCCGGGCUGUCGGCCCAGCGUGGCUUAGGCCAGGUACAACCGGCAGCGCCCGCCAAGCCCUGGGCUAGGGACGCCUGCGGGAGUUCACGGGGAGGCGCCGGUGUCUGAGGUCUGAGAAGACAGCGGCCACCGGAAAAGGUGCUAAUGUUUGCAGACCCCGAUCCAUCGACACCCCAAGGAAAUGCUGUGCACAAAAUUCCAAGAGGGCCUUUUCGAAUAGACGCAUGAACGGUGUUUGUGUCUGGAUCGUCCAGCCUCCCGGGAUCGAUUGGGAAUCUAGCUUCUGCUUGCCUUUCCAGCGCGACGCACAGUAGGAGCCUAAUAAAUGUUUGCUGAAUGAAUGCUGAAUAUCGAAAAAAAAAAAAAAAAA
rnacentral:lncRNA from 1 species